rnacentral:tRNA from 1 species
GGCCCCAUCGUCUAGCCUGGUCUAGGACGCUAGGUUCUCAGCCUAUAAACAGGGGUUCAAAUCCCCUUGGGGCUACCA